GCGAUAGUAGCUCAGGGGUAGAGCACAACCUUCCCACGGUUGGGGUCGCGAGUUCGAAUCUCGUCUAUCGCU
rnacentral:tRNA from 1 species